rnacentral:hammerhead_ribozyme from 1 species
GGACUGCUGACGAGUCCAAAACAGAACGAAACAGCUGUCCAGUGU